UCCUUGAUGGCUUAGUGGUAAAGAGUCUGCCUGCAAUGCAGGAGACCAAGGUUCAAUCCCUGGGUUAGGAA
rnacentral:tRNA from 1 species